CGUCAGCUCUCUGUUGGCGCUCGUCAAGCUGGAAGUUUAUGGGAGCAGCAGAGUGUCCUGAUCGACGCGGAAGCAGCGUUGUUGGCCCAUCUUUUGCAGGGCAUCAAUUAUGUAGAUUUCAGCGGUGAUAAUGGAUACUUCAAAGGACCGUGCGGCGUGAAAUUUCAGGCCUUGGUUGGCUUUUUUUUCCGUAUCCUUUCUCAGGAUCAGUUGGAGUGCAUUGUCGUUGGCUUUAUAAUCCGGAUGCGUUGAGGAUUUUACGUUUAGCAUGAGAAGAGGAAAUGUAUCAUUGUUGUCAAGAGAGAAGCAGGUCGACAUGCGUCUCCGUCGGUCAUAGUUUGUAGUUUGUACCUUAAUUAAUUAGGAAUUAAUUGUAAAUACAUGUAUUUUUGGUUUUAAUUGCUUUAGUUAAAUUGUGAAGACUAAUUAGG